GGCGGCGUUACAAAACAGCUAAUGGUGGUGGCCAAGCGGUCUUACUGCUUUCUUCGAAAAACUUCCCAGACUCGCGGACAGAAGUGUAGAACCUUGGCGCUUUCACAAGUGCUUAUCAGGAAAUGAAUGAGAAUUGGGGCCUCUCGAGCCACAAGGACCCAACCAACUACUAUGUUUUUUUCUCCCCUCAGGGAGCCCCCGUCAGAGCCAGUCUCCUAGUGGGGAAGCCUUUUAGGCUGUCUUCGAGGAACUUUGUCGACCCUUCCACAGUCAGAAUCGCUUGUUCUCUGCUCCCAAGAUGGCGCCACAGGACGGAGGAGUUGGAGGAAUCCAGCAGUUACCCGCAAACGUGUGAAGACCGCGCUCGCCGUACCGGCUUCCACCAACUGUCCUGAACCCCAAUUCCAGUCGCCCUCGAACCAGUAGAAAUUCUGGAGCAGCACUUAGGUCCUCGGGGCCACUGCAGGGAGCAGAAGUUCUGAAUUUUGAGGAAGUCCAUUUAUCAGGUAUCAUGCCCAAGAAUUCUUUGCCUAACCCAAGGUCAGUUACCAUUAGUGGGAGAGUUGUCUGUUGUCCUAGUCCUCCAUUACCAAAAUUAUUUGGCUUCUUAUGUCACACUCCCAAAUGAAGAUGUUGGCAAAUGCUGAGUAAUUCCACACCUGAGGUGAAGUUAACCAACACAGAGUGUUUCUUCAGGAACAAAUUUUGAGGACAUGAAUAGUCUUAAAGAGCUCAUAUCAGUUAUAGGUGUUCUUCAGCUGGAGUGGACACCACCUUCACUGAGAGAUCACAGCUGACAUCACUAACAAAGCACCCACUGACAUCAUGUGUCAUCCAGCAAUGCGGUGGUGGAAAACAGCUCUGCUUCCGUAGUAUUCCUGCCAAAAAUAUAUGACCUGAAUUGAAUCAUGACAAACCUCCCUUGCUUUCUGCAUAAAAUCCACACUCCAUAAUAGGUCACCAAGGACUCUCACCAUGUCUUUUUUGUGGCAGACACUCUGGCUAUCCACACAUCAUCUUUCCUCCCUUGGCAUCCCCACUUUUGUUCAGGUGGCCCUAAGGGAAGUCAGGCCCUUUCCUAGUCCAGGGAAUGAACCACAUUUGGUCCAACCCCACUGCCACUUGCUGCUGAUUAGGAAUGGGUAUGUGACUCAUUUCUGCCAAUCAGGACUUAAGAGGAAGUCUCCUGGGGAGCUUCUGGGGAGAAAAUAUGCUCCCUGAUAAAAAGAACGAUGAGGAAGUCUUAUCUUUUUCCUGUCUUGAAAAUGGUUGUGGGAAGAUAUGAUGCUUAGAGCUGUGGCAGCUAUACUGACAAAAGAGUAAAGUGAUGUGGGAGGAUGGAAACUGGAGUCCUUGACUUGCACUAACUCUGAAACUGACUGCAGGGUUUGGAGUGUGUCUUGCCAAUGGGUUUCAGCCCGUGGCAAGAAAUGACAGUAGAUUGUUUCUUUGGGGUGAAAGGGUUUUAUUACCCGGCAUGUUCUUCUGGCAGUAGGUCAAGCACUAGCAUCUCUGCCUCCACCCAGAGCACUGGGCCGAGCUCUCUAUAUAGUGCAAUAAGAGCUUAUUGCGUAAAGGUGUGGAAGCGGUAGCCUAGCAACAGGCCAGUUACAUCAUCAGGUGGUGUAAGUUCAGUGAGGAUCCUGGCCAUAGGAACCCCAACUUCCCCACAGAGUGUAAGACCACCAAGUGCCUCUCUGGCUAUGCCGCUCUUGGUUGGUGUGCUGCUGCCUGCCACCGAGUACCCUAUUAGCUGGUCCUACUCCCACCUUCUGUCCCCACAUACUCUUCCUCCCCUUUGUGCCUAACUCAUACUCAUCCUUAGACUUUGGCAAACAUGAUUUCCUCCAGAACACCUCCCUUUAUCUUUCAGGACUGGGCUUAGUGUCUCCCCUGUAGCAUCUUGUACCUACCCCACAGUAGCUUUCCUAAUCGCUAAACUAAUUCUCAUAAUACAGGUUUCCCCUAGUCUAAAUAUCUGUUUACUAUUUUGCUACCUAUUUUUAAAGGUUGGUUUUUAAAAUGUCUGUAGAGAAAGUUUUAUGGAAUCACUGCUUUAGAGUCACAGGAUACAUUUUUCAUGAGGCUAACGCAGGGUUCAGGAAGUAGGGGAAAUACGGGCCCUUAUAAUAGCCAGCAGGUUCCAUUUCAGCCUUGUGAUUCUAUGAUAACUCAAAGUUGGCCUUGAGUUCACAGCAGAUCUCCAACCCCAGUUCCUGGUAGUUUGUGGGUGGAAGGGUCAGGGAAUCUUUGUGACAAUUUUGUGAUUCCUGGAAACACCUAAAGGUGUACUCCACAGGGUCCGUGGGGCAGACCCAAAACCUGCUGGUUUCCCCACAAGGACCCAAGAUUGCUUCACAUGUGAAAGGAGGAGGAAGGCAGUUAGUGUUUUUAAAUGUACCUUGGAUUUGUUUUACUCAGGUAGGUAAGACACUGACAUGGAAAUGACUGUCUUGAGGGAAGAAGUUUUUAUACUCACAGACCCAUCCCUGGAAGCAGGAGGCACAGCAUGGCAUGCCACUGAGGGCCACGUUGGGAAGCACCAGGGCUGGUCAGGAGGCAGAAGGCAUGAGGAGAAAGCAUGGGCACAAACCUUUACUGUGGCUUCCCUGGGAAGGACCAGGUGAGGCAGGGUAAGCAGGUUUAGAAUUGGCUAGUUUGGAUAAUUUCAUCAGACUCUGGGGUAUAGGGGCUGUCCCUACCUGCCUUGGUAUUUAGCCCUGGGAUAAUUAGGGCAGGUGAGAAUUGCCUCCUAGAGUAUGAGAGCUAGACAGAGAAGGUGAUUAGGAGUGUGGCCUCCAGAUUGGUUAGUCUGUGUGUGAAAGCUGUUUCUAUCUUUUUAAGAAUUGGCUAGCCCUGGAAGAGGCAGUGUCUCCUUAGUCAGGGAGGCCCCCAGGUGCUGGAGCAUCAAGAAUACAGAAGAUAAAAUACAGUUAAUACAAUUAGUGAUACAGAUAUUAGCGGCCUUCAAAGUCAGCUCAAAACAUUUAGCAAAAUUAUUUAAAUUGUCUUUGCUCCAUUUACUCUGCAGAACAUGGUACCAGUGCCCUGAUUUCAAUCAUCAUGGACACUAACUAGUGUUACUGUUUUGCAAGGCCAUAGAUAUUCUUUGAGGCUGUCUUGCCAAUGGGUUUCAGUCUUGGGCAAGUUCGCUAUGGAUUCAAUGUGACCAAACAAAAUGACAGCAAAACGCUCUUGGGGUGAAAGAGUUAUACCCAACUUUAUUUCGAGGUGGCAGGUCAGUCACUAAAAUCCCGUUCACUCAGAGUGAGUCUGUAUGCAGCAAGCUGGUCUAUGCCUCUGGGCCUCUCUGCCUGCACAGUCAUCCCGCACAGCCAUCCUCUGGGCCUCUGUCCUUGGCGCUGCCACCACUCCAGCCUCUGCUCUGCUCUCCUGCAGCCUUGCAUCCCUGCCACCGUGUUGCACCCAGAGCACUGGAUGGAGCUCUUUUUUAUAGAGUCAACAGCCAUGUAUUGCCCACAGGUGUGCAGUGAGCCAGUCAACCACGGCCAGGUGAGAAUCCUGGCCACAGGAACUCUCAUUUUAUCCACAGAGGUCUUCAAGCCAUUCUGAAAUUACAUGUCCUUAGGUAAAAACAGCAUGUGUAGCUAAGUGAAUACUGGGUCAGAAACCUCACCUCAUCUCAUGGUACAAAGAAUUUAUAGCUGUGCCAUUAACUGAAUGGUCUUGGGCAAGUCACUGAGCCUGUCUGCACCUGCCCCCCUCCUCCUCCCAAAGUGAUGAGUUGCUCUGCAAUUCUCUGGGUGUGGGGAAACCACGUGUGGACUAUCCUCCCACGGAAUGCAAUUGCAUUUCUCUAGCAAGAGGCCUGCUGCUGUCAGCUACUAGACUGACAGGCCUUACCAGGCCUCUCUCAGGAAACCAAGUGUUACGUCCUACGGAAUGCGGAAAGAAACUUGGCAAGUGUCCAAGUGUCAUGCACAGAUAGGCUCUGUGCCAGGUUAUCUUGUUUAAACUUCACAUUCCUAUGGGGCAGAUGCUGUUAUUAUUCCUCAUUGAAUCGUUGAGAAAACAGGAGGUGAGAUAGGUUAAGUUGCCCAAGGUCAAGGUCACACUGCUGGGAAAGUGGAACCUGUAGCUGUCUAACUUCAAAGUGUAAGAAUUAGACUCAUUUAUGUAAUUACAGAGGUGAAAAGUAGAUCAAAAUAAGGGCAAAAUAUACGGUGACAAAUUCUGGCUCAGUAUUAGGUGGGACUUCUGAACCAUAAUUGUCAGCAAAACUGCAACAGGCUGCCUUUUUCCACCGGGAGGGCUCAGGUACAAGUUGGAUCACCGUUUUUUCAGGGCGGUUAUGGAGGUAAACCCCCACUUGGCUGAGAGUUGGUCUAGACACCCUCUGAAUGUCCCUUUGAGUGCUGAAAUUCUAAUACAAUUCUAAGAUUCCGUAAUUUGGUGUCUCCCAGGAAAUCCACACACGCAGUUGGAGACCCCACCAGCAGAGGGCAGUGUCUUCACAUUUGGUCCAUUUGCACAGAAGGAACCAAGUGUUUCCACUGGAGCACCAAGCUUAGAACCAUCACAAGAAGGACAAGGGCCUGUGUGCAGGCCUGGCAGUCUAGUUGCUGAGGAUGUGGUAGUGAAUAAAACACAAACCUGGCUGUCCUCACAGAGCUGACCUGCCCAUGUCUGAAUAUCCCAGGAUAUGCUGAGGUGGAGCUUGCCCGCGGCCUCAUGGGUUGUUAGCCUGGAUGGAUCUUAACAUCCCUUCAGAUUCCAUAAUUUGCUUGUUUUAUGAAAUCUUGUUUGUCUUCCUAUCUCUGAUACACCCUUUCAGAAUCUGCAGAGAAGUGACACCAAGUCUCACCAAGACUGCAGAGUUUUCAUGGUUUCCAAUAGAAAUAAGUCUGUGAACUCUGAUAUAUUGUAAAAAUUGCCUUUCAAAAGUCUUAGGUUUGGAAGUCUUAGAAAAAUAAAAUUUCUUCACUUAAAAACAAUCUUAAGUCAGUCUAUUUUUAUGUUUCUUUUAUUUAAGCUGUAUUGGGUCAAAGCAUUAAAAUUGCCAGUGUGAGAAAUUAUUUCUAGAGAACAGCCAGGUCACACAGACGUUACAUAUUCCAUCCUUGACAUGAACAUGGAGGAUCUCAACUAAAACAGACCCACUGUUACUGGCAUCCAAGAGCGUACACAGCUUGUGACAGUCUCAGAGAAGCCACACUAAUUUUAGCUCCUCCUGGCUGGAUAUUUACAUCCUUAAACCCAUUACCCCUGCCCCCCUAGCUCUCUCUAUUCUUUAGCACCUGUUUCUUUCUGGCUUGCACUUUCCUUUGCAUAGUAAACAUUAUCAGGAUAGACCCAGUUUUCUAUUUUUGUAUAUUUUUCUUCUCAAUGGUGUGGUCUGCUGUUGAGAUCUGCAUCACCCUGGAAGAAAAAAAGAGGGGGAGCUGGGAAAAUCCUCUUGGGCCAGAGCUGGGAGUUGACAUCUUUGUCCACUUCUUGCUAGAAAGACAGUACCCCAGGAUGCCAGGACUGCUUCUGCACAGGCUUCCUGCCUUGUAGUGGACACCAUUGGGUCACACCUGGCUCUGUGAGGCUUUGAGGCCUGAACUCCACCCAGGUGCUGAGAGGGCGCGAGUGUGAUUCCUGGUGUGCAGUGCCCACCAUAAGCCCAGGGGUCUUCUGAGGAGCCAAGAGGCUCGUUCUGCCAUUGUGACAUGUCUUCCUGAGAAAGAAAAGCUGCUGUUCAUCAUAUCCCACAGAUGGGUUUUAAAAAUUGGCAAGAUUUCUGUAUGGAGAUUGUGGAAUACUUGGGCUCAACAAGGCCCUUCAUGGCCUCCCUGACACCUGUCCCAUCAGCCUCGGCUCCUGCCCGGUCCAGCGCUCUUGUCCCAUCCUGAGCCCCGCCUCUGGCCACGCUGUACUCUUGUGUGAAUCCCACCUCUGCACUUUGGCAUGUCGGAUCCUCUGGAACUCAUUUCUUUACCUGGUGAGGGAUCGGUUUUAUGUUUUCUUUUACAUUUCCAUUAAUUUUUUUUCAUUUGUAUUUAUUUUAAUAUCAGAGUCUAAUACUUUCAUAAAGUAUGUUGAUAAUGCACUUGGAUGUCAUGGCAGCAUCAACUGCUAUAAAAAUUUCUGAAAACUUCCUCUCAGUUUCUAUUCAUCUGUUGUUUUGAGCAGGUAACAAGCAGGGACCACCCAUUGAGUGGCACUGCUCUAGACUCCUGUGCGGGUCACAUUCUCUGUGAAGCUGCUCCAUUCAGCCACCGCAGGUAGAACCAGUGGCUCCUCCCCUGUGAUCUCGCCCCGUGAGAUGUAAACACCACAUGUCACAGAACAUUCGCUCACAGCCUUGUGAUUGAAGUGUGCAUCUACCUCUCUGCCUGAUUCUGAGCUCCACGAUGGAGGACAUUCUUUCUUAUUCAUCUCUCUAUCCCACAGUACAGGUCUAGCCCAUAUUCAGAGCUUGGUCAGUAUUUAUGGGACUGAAUACAGUGCCACUUUGGAAAAUUCUGUGGGAUGUUGGCUCAAUGCUGACUCAUGUACUAGUUUGCUUUAGACAUCUCAUGGCUUACCUAGCCCUGUGGCCAAUGAGGAGAAAUGGCAUAAGAGUGAAGAUGGAUCAGGACUUGGCGAGCAGACCCCAGGGGCCCAGCUGCAUCGCCAGUGGGUACUGUGGGCAGUGCUGUGGCCUGGGGGUGUGGAAGGAGACAGACCAACGAUCAGGGCCAGCAGAGCCCAGGAAUAAAGUCACCAAGCCAAGGCAGGGGAUCUGCUUUACAGGGUGUCUAAUACUGGCCACUAAAAUUUAGCAGGUGGAAGGAGCUAAAACUCCUGCAUCCGGGUAGUAUGGGAAGCAGCCAAUGAGUAAACCCCUGCCAAGGUGAGAGCUUAGGAGAGGGACUCCUUUCAGGUUUUUGGCCUAAGGGAGAUAGUUACACAGUCAUGGGCUUCAUCCAGAGAUAAGCCUCUGGUUUCCCUGUCUUCCCAAGCUAAUCAUUGCU